rnacentral:rRNA from 1 species
GACGAACGCUGGCGGCGUGCCUAAUACAUGCAAGUUGAGCGCUGAAGGUUGGUACUUGUACCCACUGGAUGAGCAGCGAACGGGUGAGCAACGCGUGGGGAAUCUGCCUUUGAGCGGGGGACAACAUUUGGAAACGAAUGCUAAUACCGCAUAAAAACUUUAAACACAAGUUUUAAGUUUGAAAGAUGCAAUUGCAUCACUCAAAGAUGAUCCCGCGUUGUAUUAGCUAGUUGGUGAGGUAAAGGCUCACCAAGGCGAGGAUACAGAGCCGACCUGAGAGGGGGAUCGGCCAAAAUGGGACUGAGACACGGCCCAAACGCCUACGGGAGGCAGCAGGAGGGAAUCUUCGGCAAUGGACGAAAGGCUGAACGAGCAACGCCGCGGGAGGGAAGAAGGGUUUCGGGUCGGAAAAAUCGGUUGGUAGAGAAGAACGUUGGUGAGAGUGGAAAGCGCAUCAAGUGACGGUAACUACCCAGAAAGGGACGGCUAACUACGUG